rnacentral:ncRNA from 1 species
UGGCCGAAGUUUUCACAUUUUUAAAUGUUUCAAAAUAUAAAAAAAUAAAACACGUUUAUCUCCGAUUACGAUUAAAAUCAUCGUGCGGUGGUUCGUAACGCCGAGAUCGACGAUCAUCCAGAAAGAUGGUGAACUAUACUUGAGCAGGAUGAAGCUAGAAGAAACUCUGUUGAAUGACCGAAGCGAUUCUGACGUGGAAAUCGAUUGUCUGACUCUGGUAUUGGGGCGAAAGUAAUAGCUGGUUUCUUCUGAAGUUUUCCUU